rnacentral:hammerhead_ribozyme from 1 species
AUUCAGAUGAUGAGUCCCAAACAGGACGAAAUGCGCAUCCUGGAU